rnacentral:tRNA from 1 species
GUUAUAAUAGUUUAUAAUUAAAACAUUGGUUUUGUAAACCAAAAUAAGAUCCUAUCUUUAUAACU